AUUGAACGCUGGCGGCAUGCUUUACACAUGCAAGUCGAACGGUAACAGGUUAAGCUGACGAGUGGCGAACGGGUGAGUAAUGCAUCGGAACGUGCCCGGUCGUGGGGGAUAACGCAGCGAAAGCUGCGCUAAUACCGCAUACGAUCUGAGGAUGAAAGCGGGGGACCGUAAGGCCUCGCGCGAUCGGAGCGGCCGAUGUCAGAUUAGGUAGGUGGUGGGGUAAAGGCGCACCAAGCCGACGAUCUGUAGCUGGUCUGAGAGGACGACCAGCCACACGGGGACUGAGACACGGCCCAGACUCCUACGGGAGGCAGCAGUGGGGAAUUUUGGACAAUGGGCGCAAGCCUGAUCCAGCAAUGCCGCGUGCAGGAAGAAGGCCUUCGGGUUGUAAACUGCUUUUGUACGGAGCGAAAAGGUCUUCCCUAAUACGGGAGGCUGAUGACGGUACCGUAAGAAUAAGCACCGGCUAACUACGUGCCAGCCGCCGCUGUAACAC
rnacentral:rRNA from 1 species